rnacentral:lncRNA from 1 species
UAGGAAAACAAAUUCUAUUGAAAAAAGGGAAACACAAUCGACGGUCAAGAAGCACUUAACACACCUGAGUAGAGUCUACAAAACUCUAUCCGAGUUUUUCUUAAUUCUAAUCCAAUGGUUAUAAAUAAAUGGAUCAUAUCUCUCCUGAUACAUUUAAUACCUUAGUCUAUCUCUCUCUUAAUUGAUAAAGAACCAUAAGAGAUAUGUAAGCUUUUUAAAUGACUUGUAAGCUCCAUAAAUCUCUCUCUAUCUCCUCCUUUUUGAUUGGUUUUCUUAUUAGGUCUCUUCUAUCUCUUAUCAUUUAGUUGAAUGAUGAAAAUUUCUCUGUAUCUCACACAUUCUCGCGCAUGUAAGGGAAACAUUAAUGUAAAUACAUAACAUAAUUAUUAAGAAUAUGGAUUUAUUAUAUAAAUUGGUUAAUAAAGAUAAAAAUUAGAACGACUCCAUUAUAGAAUAGAAGUAAGAGAAAAAUAGUCCUAGAGCCAGAAAAAGAGAGCAGAAAUGGAAUGAGAAGAGGGGGACACGAGUCUAAAGAGAAGAAAAUAGAGAGAAAGUUAUUAAGAAAAUAUUCAAAGCAUAUAUAAUACAGAUUGCCGACGCUAGAGAGAAAGACCAAAGAGAGGAAAUUAUUGAGAAAAUAUUCAAACACUAUAUAAAGUCCGCUCAACAAUGUUUUGUAGACUUGGGCCCUGGACUCAAUUGUUUUGUAGACUUAGGCCAUGGACUCGGCCUUAGCUUGAGCUCAGUAACUUGUUGAAGCUUGCUAAGUCAUGAACCUAGCCCAAAAAAUCCUAAAAAUAGUCACAAAAAACUUAAAUAAGCAUUUCAGAAAAAUCUAGAAAAAGAAAAUACAAAAAAUAGAAUUCAACAAUAAAACACAAAAAUCAAUAUAUUAUACAUCAAAAUUGUAUGUAUAGUUUUUAUACAUCAAUUGUAGAGGUUUAUAUAUUUUUAUUUUUUCAAUAUACCAGAGUUGUAAUUGGGUACUCAGCUUGGCCAAGGGCUAAGUCCAAGUGGACUCGGCUGAGUAGCUAAAGACUGCUAUGAAACUAUAAUGAGUGGGGAAGGGGGGAUGAUGAAGACAUAGAUGAGGAGAAAAUUAGCGGGCAAGACUGCAGAGAUCCAUUCUGUUCAUUGGUGGUGGCAAACCUUUGUAUUUUGACUCAAAGGGCUUCACUUCCUAAGCAUAACUUGGUUGUGACCUAGCUCUCUAUGUCUUGCCUAAAUAUUAGGUGCUAUAGACGAUAUGCACACAAAGAAGCUGAUGCCAUUUUCAAUAGAGGUUCUUGAGGGUCAUUGAAAGGGAUGUCCACCAAAAUGUGGUUGAUGUUGCUCUCAAUGCUAGAAGAUAGGAUGAGCUAUUGCUUUGUCUUGAGUGCAAGAUCACAAUGGCAACUCACCAAGGUCAAAUUGCAAUAGGUUGUGGAUUGUAACCCAUUACAAAGCUCUUAGGCUAGGUUUUCUCAUAUGUUGUUCUCGGUACUAAUACCACGCACAUGUUCUACAGGGAUAACAGUUUUGAAUAUGUACAAUAUGUGAUGAUGUGAUGUCUAGAGGCAUGGUUACUUGGGGCACUCUAAUCUUAAGCCUUGUUGAUUUGGGAUCUUCAACAAGGCGUCAAAGCUCUUUCGUGACAAAUAAUAAUGAGAUGUAUGGUUUAUCAAAUAAAUUCAUAUAUUUUAUUAUGUAGUAAAUAUGUUUGUCUUUAUUUUAGGAUAUCAAUUUGAUGUGUCAGCCGAUGCAUCUAUUUACAUGCGUCCCCCUCCAAAAUCCAUGUAUUCAAAAUUUUAAAAGGUUGAUAAUCUCAACCUUGGUGAUUAUGAACAUGUAAAGAAAAAAAAAAAAGAAGUAUAUAAAUGAUAUUGUAUUGGACAUUUUAGUUUGUGGAAGAGGCAUCUUGAAUGAUGGUGGUUUGCUGUGUAAGUGAUACAACUCUAUCCAGUAUAGACUAUACUGCAUCUCUCAAUUUAUCAAAUACGUUUUCUAUUUUUUCCUAAUUAUUUCGGUAUAUCACAAUAUUCAUAUACAAUUAUAAAUAUUAUAAAUUAUAUUUCUUUUACCAUUAUGACAACAAAAAAUAAUUUAUCAAGUUUAUUAAGUAAUUUAUUAUUAUUUUUUUUGAAAAUAUUUAUGUGCUUUAACUUUAUUAAAAGGAUCAAAUUACAGCAAUGUAGAAUUAACUAAUUUAUUUUUCUUUAACUUUGUUUAUUUUCAUACUGAUAAGCAAAAGUAGUGUACAUCAAUAACAAAUGUUCAAAACAAAAAUCAUAUUUAAUCUAAAUUGAAGACUUUUAGUACAUUAAAUUAGAGCACAAGUAACUAAAUGUAUAGCUUACUGCUAUAAAUAUUUGAAAAAAUGUGUUAAAUACUUACCCUAUCCUUGAUCGACUACAAUGUCUCAAAGAUUUAAUAUCUCAAAUAUAUGGUACAUACUUGAAAUAUUG